UUCUGGACGUCGACCGGCGCACGGGUGAGUAUCGCGUAUCCAACCUGCCCCUUACUUGGGGAUACCCCGUUGAAAGACGGCCUAAUACCCGAUGUGUUUCAUUGACGGCAUCCGAUAUGAAACAAAGGUUUUUCCGGUAAGGGAUGGGGAUGCGUCUGAUUAGCUUGUUGGCGGGGCAACGGCCCACCAAGGCGACGAUCAGUAGGGGUUCUGAGAGGAAGGUCCCCCACAUUGGAACUGAGACACGGUCCAA
rnacentral:rRNA from 1 species